CUAAAACUUCCGCAACCCUAAAAUAAUAGUGGGUAAUUUAUUUUACACUCCCUCCUUUUUUUCCCAAUCUUUUCAGAAACUUCCGCCUUUCCCAAUCUUUACUCUCUUCUUUCUCUGAUUUUCACUCUUAAUUAAAAAGAAACUCAGCCUUCCAUGCUCUCCUCUUUCUGCUUGCCUUCUUCUUCCAUGAAUCUCGUUUGGGAUUCAUGAAGUAAUUUCUUUUUACUUUAAUGAGAUUUUAAUGUUAAGAUUUGAAAUUGGGGUUUUAAGAAUACAAUUUCAAUUUGCCCAAACAACUAAAAGGCACGGCUCAUACAGAUCUGUGGAAUUUCGUUCUGGUCUUGGAAUUUUUUUGGACUACAAGAGGAAAGAAGCACUGUGGGUGGCAAAGAAGUUGCAUAUUGAGAGGACAGGAAGACUGAUUUAUUGAAAAAUAUAAUCGAAGAUUUUGGGAUUCUAUCGAUAUCAGAGGUUCAGCAGCUGCACUUGAAAGAUAAUUCUUUCCUAUGGAUAAAUCUUGGAUUAUAAAACCAAGGAAUACCACUGAGUAUUUGUUUGGGUUAAAUAAGUUUUUAGAUUUUGCAUUUGCUAAUGCUGUUAUGGGAGAUAGAAUAAAAUGUCCUUGUCCUAAAUGUGGAUUCGCAAAGUGGCAGACUAGAGAUGUAGCGUUUGAUCAUUUGGUAUGCAAACCAUUCCCUCAAAAUUAUGUCACUUGGAGUAUUCAUGGUGACAGAAUUGUAUUGACAACUUAUUCUUGGCAACUACAAUGCUCAAGCAGAUAAGCCUAUCAUAUGACAGUUUUCAUGUGAGUAUCAUGAAAACUACAAUGCUCACGCAGAUAAGCCUUUCAAUAUCCAGGUACAAGGACUUAUAAAGAAUCUUUCAGACUUUUUUUUUCUUUGCAGUAAUAUUUUCAGAAUAUACUAUAUGGUAAAUAUUGAUAUGACAAAUGACGAUAUAAUUUUAUCGUUCGCACGAUGCCUGACUCUUUAAGACUAACUAUUCACACUUGUCUCUGCAUAUAUUAACUUCAGUGACAUAUUGCUUCUAAUACAUGAGUGUAUAUCAAAACGACAACGAAAGAGAGAAGCUUUCCAUUGGAUUAAAGUCAUAUAUGUUUUACACUUAUCUACUGGAACUUGCUCCUUAUUUUUAGGAAGUUGUCAUGUGUCUAAGUCAAUAAUGAACUUCUGCAAUUGGUUUGUUUGAUCUGAAGCCAGAUUUUCAGGGAAAAGGGCAUAUAUAAGUACAUCAUAUAUACAAUAGUCUAAUGGACAGAUUUAUUAACAUUCAUAUGUUGAAGUAGGACUUUUCAUCUUAUUCAUAAUUUGUAAAGAUCAACUUGCAAAAUGUUGACAUGUUGUGUUAUAGUCUGCAGACUACUGAAAUUACAGCUAACUGCUUGAACAAAAUAUCCUACAUAUUAACAGCUAGUUGUGAAUUAUAGAAUAUAGCUGAGACAAAGUGCAAGAAUAAGUAUAUUUUGAAAAUACUUAUGUCAUGAUUUGUUCUAAUGAUUAACCUACUUAAAGAAGGUUAUGAAGUGUUGGACCUUUAGGGAGAAUGAUAAAACAAGUGCAUAUGCCCAACUUUGUCAACUACUGAUGCUCUAGGCUACUGAUUGCACCUUAUGGCAGGAAAUAGAUUAUUAUUGCGAAGCGUAAUAGUAACAGAUUUAUAAUGUUGGCUUAGAUUUUUUUAAUGUGUAUUGUGUUUAAGAAAAAAUUGAGCUAGCAGUGAGUGAAAGUACAGUGGAUGAGUCUGAAAUUUCUCCAAAUGAUGAUGUUGGUAAGGUGCUAGGCAAAGAGCAUCCUGGAAGGGUGAGAUGUUUGGGAUUAGCAGCUACUCCAAGCAAUACUUUCAGAGAGAUAAAUCUUCGUCUUGGUAAUAUUAGAAUUGUGAGUAAUAAUGUUGGAUGUUCUUCUUCUGGAUGCCAAGAAAAGUACAAUCAAUUGAUGAGUACUCUCAAGGCAUACAUGAUAAUGAAGGAAGGGUCAAUACCAGAACAAUUUGCUGAGAUCUUUGCUUCUCUUCCUACAACGCCAAGUGAUGCAGCUAGUGUACCCGUUUCACCGACAGAUGCAAGAACAUCUUCUAGCGCAAGUAAUCCCAAUGACAACCAUUGAGAUUCAUUUUAAUUGAAGUGGAUGUAUUAGGACAAUGUAAUAGCUGACUAAUAUAGAUGGUUAACUAUGUUCUAAUUUAGUUUGAUGACAUAUGAUACUAUUGUGUAAUAGUAUUUUUCACGGUUAAUGAAAUGUUGAUGUUUCUUAAUUUUAA